GUUUUUUCAAGGCUCACAUGUUUUUCAUUUUCAGCACCUUAAUUUAUAUGUAAUAUUUGUUCUUGCGCUGCUUCGAGAGACGGAAUCGUAGUGUGAGUGCUCUUGAUUUGGUCCAAUCUGGUCUGACUGGCUUAUCAGUACUGGUUCCGUAUAUACACAUUAUAAAAGUUACUGCUGCUUCUCGAAAGAGACAGUUCCCUUCAUUUCGAUCGUGAUGUUCGGUGGUAUUGCCGCUGUGCUUCUGUAAUUCUCUGUUUAUUGCGCCAUCGUCAGGUGUUUUCUGCUGUAUUUUUCCUAUACAAUGAUAUCAACACGAGUAUCAAAUACAGCAUGAUCAUUAGUGACUGUACAGCGAGAGUGUACGUAUGAGAGUGCAGAUCAUUAGUAUCCCUUCCACAAUGCAUAAGACGUGAUAUUUUUCUCAAGCAACAACUUUUAGCUCCGUAAGCGGAUUAGUGAAGAAUAAACUGCAGAUUGGAUUGAAAGGAAUCAUAACAAGAACUGUUCUAUGUACCGAAAAUAUGGAUACGUUGCAAAUGAAAGAAAAUAUCAUCGAUGCAUUACGUCGUAAG